ACCAACACUGAGCUGAACUCUCUCACUGGCGGGUUAAAAAGGUGCCUUCGAUGGAACCACCAGUCGCCCUUCGAAGUCUUUCCUGGCAUCCCCCCAAAUCUCCAGUCUAUAGUGCAAACCCCUCCCAAGUGCGCACACGUGCAUUGUGGGCACACACCAUUUGAGCCAGUUGAAGAUUUUCUACCAAGCUUUGUGGAGUAAAAGAGACCCUCGUGCUGAGACGGUGCCCCAGAACUCUCUAGUGUCACAGAGAAUUCAUAAGUGGGGUGGCCUUGCUGGAGGCAGCCCAAGAGCCCAGAUCCCCCUGCUUGCUUUCUUAGUGGGCUACCUUCCUGUGUGACCGAGACUAUUUGGGGAUUUGACUGGGAGCUGGUCGAGUCAGGAUCCGACUGAGACCCCAGGCUAGGGGGCUGCCUCCAGUAGGAAAACGGAAGAGAAAGAAGGCUAGAAGCAAGAAGAAUGGUGAGAAAACUAAGCAAGAAAAUCCAAAGGAGAGCAAAAAACGCUGAAGAGUAAAAGGAGCAAGGAAAAAAGCUGCCAUUGGAGCUGCUGAGGACAGAACGAACUGGGGAGGAGUUAUCCCCCUCAGGGAGCCUGUACAGGUCAGGAUAAUUAAGGAGAAUGUCAACUACUGGACAACUGGAAUGAAUUCAAAUCAGCAGGAUUAGGUGGCUUUUUACCAAGGAUUCUUGGAGUUGACCCUCCCUUACAUGGCAAUCUGGCAUCCUCAGCUAGUGGAUUUUUUGUAGGAGAAGAAACAAAAAGGGAAAAAGAGGAAGAGAAACAAUGGAAGAAUGAGGGAGAGAGAGAGAAGAGAGAGAGAGAGAGAGAGAGAGAGAGAGAGAGAGAGAGAGAGAGAGAGAGAGAGACUGACAAAACCACAGAAUGGAGAAGCAAGCAUUCCGGAUUCCUGGAUUCUAUUUACCUCCUGAUGGGAGAAGUGAGACCCACUGGUUUAAUGCAGACUGGAUUAAGGGCCCAAACUCCUGAAUUUAGUGCACCUCUCCAGGAAUGUGGAGACUACAGGAGCAGUCACAUCUUCAGCGUAUGGGAAGGAGAGAAGGAAAAGCCCAGCAUCUGAGAAGGAAGACAGACAGCAGCAGCAGCAGCAGCAGCAGGCAAAGUCACUGCAAAGAGGAACAAUUUCUUCCAGGCGGAGCAAGCAGGAGAUUCCCAGCCAUUUCUGGGUACCGCAUGGCAGCCAUCCAGCUAACAAGGCAGAAGCUGCAUUGCUAAGAGGCACGUCCUCAACAUCUCCCGGGUGUGCAUUUGAGGGCAGCGGUCACCACGGAGACGGUACCUCCUAGUAUGGCCUCGGCUGCAUCUGCAUCUCCGGGUUGGCGUUUUGAGUGUGUGUGUGUGUGUCCGCGUGCGUGCUGCUCACUGCAGCAUUGGGUGGAUGGGAUAUGAUGUCAGGUGGCAAUGAGAGCGAGUGGAAUAAGGGAGGGGAGGGAGAAAGAAAGAAAGGAGGUGGGUUAAAGAGGCACAUGAAAGAGAGAGCUGGCCAAACAAAUCAAGUGAACAGCAAACGGAAGGCAGCAGGGAGGGAGAGGGAUGACCUGCAAGGGUUCAAAUUAAUCAAGGCUCAAGGACUCCAAGAGGAACCCAUCAGAGGCUCCAGUCUCCCUCUCUGCAAUAGCUCACAUAACGCAUGGCGAGGCUGCAGAGCACUCCGCAGAUGGUGACCGGGUAACCCAGCUCCGCGUUGCACAGAGGAGGAAACAGAUGAAAAUGAGGCAUAAAGAAAUGCAUUGAGAUCCUCGGAGCGCUGCCUCUCAAAAAGCCACUGCCUCAUAUCCAGUGACUAACUCAAAUCCAGGCCUGGAAGAGAGGCAAGCAGCUCAGCUGGGUGCUGGAAUGGGCUGGGACCAAGACUCCUAGGCUCAGUCCCCGGGUCCAUCAUGGGAAUGGGAAUGAGAUGCCUUCAAGCACGGGAAAGUGAACAAAGGAUGUACCUUAUGCCAGAAGCUUCACAGAAGAACCAAUGCCAGAAAUCCUGGCUCCCUUCCCUACGUUCAGAAGAAGGUGCUCAACACCCUACUGACCUGUCUCCUUGCAUCUUUCUCCACGUCUCCAGCUAUCUCACGCACUGUCCUCAAAGAAAAACCUCUUCAUAUGGCAUCCAGCGCUCAAGGCUUGAAACAGACUAGUUCCAAGAAAUGAGCUCCCUGCAUGGUUUGCUUAUAAGGAAGAGUUCCCUGUCCAGCAGCAAGCUGGAGACUCUGCUCUCCAAGCCCCUCCAGUGAACCUGCUCGCAAGUCAGUGCUCCAGCCUGCCUCACAGUGGGGUCUCCUGCCAUGGACUCCAGAGCUGCUGUUUGCUGGCAAAUGCCAACUUACCAGGACACAGAGCAGCAGAGAGAGCAGAAAACAAAAAGGGAAAGGAGAGCUGGUGCUGUCUCUGCCUACAAUGGGGAGGAUUCAGAGGCUGGUUAUCUCAUGAGGCCCCAGAUGCCAAGUCAUAAGCAGACACAUCAGACAACACAAACCUGCAUUCUUAGAGUUAGAGAGAGAGAGAGAGAGAGAGAGAGAGAGAGAGAGAGAGAGAGAGAGAGAGAGAGAUAUCCAGACCCACAAAACACUGUCUGCCUGCUCAUCUUGUCACCUGAACUGCUCCUCACUUUGUGCCUCUCUUUCCCAAGUCAGAGCCACCCAUCUCUUGCUACAGGACACUCUACAACCAGUUUUGACCUAGUACUGCACAAGAGAUCGAAAACCACAGCCGGCCCACUAAGCAAAAAUGCAAGCAGCAGAAGUGAGGAAACAAUGCUUGUGGUCCCUGGUACAAAGAACCAUGCCACACACAUGCCAAAAUAUCAUGAUCCCACCCUGCCUAUACAAUACAUACACACACCUCAAAUCAUUAAAUAGCAAAUCCUCACAUCACAAUUUAAGAAAAGAACCUUUCAAUUUGUCCUUUUUUAAAAAAAAAGUGCCAGAGUUCUCAAGGAAAGGUCUGAUGGAGCAUAUCUUGAACAGGCUCCUGUUGUUAAUCUGUCCCUAGCCAGCUCAGCAGGAGCUACUAUCUGCAGCAACUGCGUCAAGAAUGGCUACCCUUUUCACCCAGGAGCUGUACCUUCUGGUCCCAUAAUAAUGUAGGACUUGCAACUGAACUCAUUUAGAUCCUCGUCACAGAGCAGCCAUCUAUACCGCCUAUGUGCAUGUGUGUGCAGUGAUCAGUGGGGGCAGGGCAGAGAGGAUAAGUAAUGACAUAUUAUGUGGAGUGAGCUAAAUGGAGAUGAAUUUCUCUAAUAGGGAAAAAGGAUGGGUGAAUGAAUGGGUGGACAGUUGUGUCUGAGGAAAGAGGAGCAUUAUACUGGAGAUAAAGUGGAUUAGUUGUAGAGAUGAAUGGCUAACCCAAGAGUUAUGGAGAGAAGGACAAGAUGUGUGUGUAGGAAAAGGGAGACCAAGUUACUCAUUGGGCAUUUCUCUUUUUUACAUCUCUCCAGCCAUCCACCCCACCCACGCCACUGAAAUAGCACAGAAAAUGGUAUAAUUUCCCAUGGGUGAAAAAGUAGCUUGGGGAGGGUAGUUUUAAGCUUUAAAAAAAAAAUGAAGGGAAAGGGUUAAGCAGCCUCUCCCUAGCCGGUCUUCCUGACUCAGACACACUGCUGGCCCAGGCUACAUUUGGUUUAAAAAACGUGGAGGGGGAAGGAUAUGCAAGAGAAAUGCUGGGUUAGUGGCAGAGGACGGGGAGAUUGUGAAGAUAAGAACAUUGUACUGGGUGAAAAGAAGAUGGGCUUCUCGGUAUCUUUUACAGAAUCAAUAAAUGGAAUGAGGGACAGACAAUUCUGGAACUGAGAUAGAAAUACAGUUAUGGGCCAGAUGGACAUGUACUGGGAAUAAUGUACAGUGUAGAAUAUACAGGAAGGGUGAACAGAAAGGAGGUGAUUAUGGGGCAAGUAUCUGGAAAGUGGGGAGGUGUUUGGAUAGACAUGAUGGCAGACUGGCUGCGAGCCUCAUCCUGGAGCUCAGGAUGGCGGCCGCUGAACUGGACAAGCAUCAGGCCCUUACCUUGUUGGAUGCCAUCUCACUGACAGAGCGGUAGGUCUGGAUGGUCUCCAGCUGGUCAAGGCACCAGUCAAGCUCUUCCAAGGUCUCUCGGGCCAGUUGCUGGUAUGUUUCUUCUGCAGGAGUGGUGGGGGAAGAAACCAACACAUUCAUCUUACCUGAUCCUUUGAGCAUCUCAUUAAGAACUAAGGACCUCUGCCUCAAACAACUGCCUUGCAAAUGGGCAAGGGGAGUGUAGUCUAGUAACCACCUUGCGAAAGGGAGAUAGAGGUCAGUUUCAUGCCCCCCGUUCCAUAUACAGAGAGGGCAAGCCAGUGAGGGGAUUUUUAGAGUGGGUCCCAGAGCAGGCCUGCAAAACCCACGUCCCUCUGAACUGAACCCAGCUCACCAAGAAACAGGAAAAGCUCCUGUUUCUGCUGCCGCCAGGGGCUGCAAAAACCGAAGGGUUGUGAAGGACUUGGCAGGCCACAGCAUGUGGCUGGUAGGCUGCAUCCAGUGCAGGUCUCAUUUAAAGCCAAGGGGCCAUCUGAACAGAGAGCGAGGCCAUGCACCUUUGAUUCAUGUUCUUUCAUGCCACAGAGCCCCUCUGUAUCCCUCCCAUCAUGAGCUGCCCCAGCCUGGCGACCCAAGGUUGGAAACCCCUGGCACAAAAAUUGGCCCACCUCUGACUAUGGGGAUAACCAUCUGCAUCAGACUAAUGAAAACUUAGUUAUUGCUUAAGUUUAUCAGCUACAUGGGCUGACCCUGACUAAUGAUGCAUUUACUCAAGGACACGGCACUAGUUGGUAGGAGGACACGGUUGUGCUAGCUACUUGUGUUUCAGACUAGUGUUGCACAACCGCACGUGUGCGCUUAUACAACAGCUGUGCAACCCGCAGCACUCCUCAUCUGUUCAAAAGGGAAUUUUUGCACAAGACUGCUAUAGCACAAUUUUAGACUGCAAAUCCCGGGUUUUUUUAAAGUACAACUAUGGUCUUUUUGUGCUAGCACAACUUUGUUAUGCAGUGUGUCAGCCACCAUCUCCAGGACCUCAGGGCUGGUAACAAUCCGACCUUAUCACACUUCCCUAACCACCCUGCCAUGCACAACCACUCAAUGAGGAGAACAGUAUUAUUUCUCUUUCAGAGACAAUCUUCUGACAUUUUAGAUAGGGCAAAAGGGAAAGUUCUACAUCUCACCUCCUAGUCAGAUGAGAAAACUAUCCCCAUAAUGGUAGCUUGUGGAACUUCCCAUCAGGGGAGAUGUGGAAAAGUUCCCUGUCAGAUGUGGAGGAGAAGCAGAAAGGGCAGAAAGUCCAUGUCCAUUGUGUUGCCUGUUUCCCCCACAUCACCACAUCCAAAACAGUUCUGAACUUUAGAGAGUGUUGCACAUGAAAAUGCCCAGGCAAGUCCAUGAAUGAGUUAACUUCUUGGAUCCAGGGCUGGGCCACACAUGGGAAACGCCCAUUUACCCCAUCAGAACUCCCCAAGUGCUAACACAUCAAACUCUGGUUACCUGAGAGUGUGGCUCUGCAAACAGUCGGUUGGCUGCCCAUGGGGGACCUCCUAAGGGGCAGAAAAGACAAAGAUUAGGAGAAGUUGCCUCAUAUUGAGUCAGACCACUGAUCAAUCUAGUUUGGUAUUGUCUACAAGGACUUGACGGUGGCUGUCCAGGGUUUUAGAUGGCAGGGGUGUGUCUUACCCAGCCUUACCUUGAGAUCUUGCCAGGGAUUAAACCUGGGCGCUUUCCAGAUUACAGGCUAAAACAGCCGUAAAAUGCUUUGGCUUGGCAGGAUUGAAUUGAAAAUGUAAUUAAAGGGAGUUGCACAAAGCCACCAGCAGGGGGAGCAGUCUUUUCUAGCUUGCGCAAAACUUUACAAUGGGAAAAUACAGCUAUUUAUUUGCACCGCACAUGCGACGGUAUAGGACUGUAUUGCAGCAAUAAAACCCGAAAGAAGGCAUCGGAAAUAUGAAUGGCACCUUGCUGACAGCGCAGGGACUGCAAUGCAGUUUGAAAGCACACUUUAUUAGUGUCCAAUCUGGAAAAUGCCCUGGUACCUUCAGCAUGCAAAACAGGUGCUCCUACCAUUGAACUACAACCUCUCCCAGGAGAUAAGAUCAGAAAGAGAAAUGAGAUCUGACUCAAGCACCCUCCUUUGCUACACAAGAGUUCUAUGACUCCCCCUCCCCCAUUCACAACACAAGACCUCCCAUCCCACAGCAGUAGCUUUUGGCAAUACACUGGGCCCCAAGCUCCCUCCUAUCCUGCACCAUUCCCUUCAGGCCAGGAUGGAAAUGUGAGUGGUUUUAAAUACAGAUGUGAAGAGAAAACCAACCUAGCCCCUGUGGGCUUUUGAGGGCGCACACAAUGGCUCCUACCUCUUUGGAUAAGCAGAUGUAGAGCUAGACUGGCUUUGAAUGAGUGGGGUGUAGGGAGAGUGUGAAGAAGGGCUUGUAGCCUCACAGGUGAGAAAUUCAGGGCACAUCUAGUCUAAAAAUAUAAAAUGAGUUUCAGACAAGUUCAACUAUCAGGGCUCCAAACAAAAGGAGCUCUAAGAAUUAUAGUUCUAUGAGGAGCUAGUGUCUGCAAACAAAAUAAUAAAUGCCCCACAAAAACUACAGUUCCCAGAGUUCUUUGGGGAACCAAUAACCACUAAAACUAGAUGUGCCCUUGGAAUGGCGCUGGGGGUGGAGGCCUGAACGUGGCUGGCUUCUGUUUUUGCCUGGCACUCUAACACUGCCUCCGAUAUUAAUCAGAGCAAUUCCUGAGGUAAUGGGGUGGGGGUGGGAGGAAACAGUGUGAGAUGACAGGAUUUUUGUCUUGACCGGCUUUUGCCCAAGCUUCAGCUGACAGGGAACGCAGGAGUCACAAGUACACUGACUGCAGUAGGGCACCCAGAAGGUGUAAUGAGAGUUGCUACAUUUUUCAUGAAAUAAAGUACUGUAUGUGAAAUGUUCUGUA